rnacentral:rRNA from 1 species
GACGAACGCUGGGGGCGUGCCUAAUACUUGCAAGUCGAACGCAAAACUUUCACCGAAUGCUUGCAUUCACGAAAGUUUUGAGUGGCGAACGGGUGAGUAACACGUGGGUAACCUGCCCAGAAGAGGGGGAUAACACUUGGAAACAGGUGCUAAUACCGCAUAAUAACGAAAACCGCAUGGUUUUUGUUUGAAAGAUGGUUUUGCUAUCACUUCUGGAUGGUCCCGCGGCGUAUUAGAUAGUUGGUAAGGUAAAGGCUUACCAAGGAAAUGAUACGUAGCCGAACUGAGAUGAGCAUCGGCCACAUUGGUACUGAGACACAGCCCAAACUCCUGCGGGAGGCAGCAGUAGGGAAUCUUCCACAAUUGACGAAUGUCUGAUGGAGCAACGCCGAGUGAGUGAAGAAGGGUUUCGGAUCGUAAAACUCUGUUGUUAGAGAAGAACGUGUGUGAGAGUAACUGCGCAUGCAGUGACGGUAUCUAACCAGAAAGCCACGGCUAACUACGUGCCAGCCGCCGCAGUAA